AGAGGCAGGCGGAUCUCUGUGAGUUCGAGGCCAGCCUGGUCUACAGAGCUAGUUCCAGGACAGCCAAGGACACACAGAGAAACCCUGUCUCAUAAA
ensembl:miRNA